GGAGGAGUACCCAAGCGGUUGAAGGGGCGGCUUUGCUAAAGCUGUAGUAUGGGGCGACCUGUAGCGGGGGUUCGAAUCCCCCCUCCUCCGCCA
rnacentral:tRNA from 1 species